GGUGGGGUUCCCGAGUGGCCAAAGGGGACGGACUGUAAAUCCGUUGGCAGCGCCUUCGAAGGUUCGAAUCCUUCUCCCACCACCA
rnacentral:tRNA from 1 species